GACGAACGCUGGCGGCGUGCUUAACACAUGCAAGUGGAGCGACGAACCAGGGCUUGCCCUGGGGCCAAGCCGCGAACGGGUGAGUAACACGUGGGUAACCUGCCCCGAUGACCGGGACAACCCGAGGAAACUCGGGCUAAUACCGGAUGACUCCUUCGAGCUCAAGCUCAAAGGGAAAAGGAAGCUUCGGCCUCCGCAUUGGGAGGGGCCCGUGGCCCAUUAGCUUGUUGGUGAGGUAACGGCUCACCAAGGCUGCGAUGGGUAGCUGGUCUGAGAGGACGAUCAGCCACACUGGGACUGAGACACGGCCCAGACUCCUACGGGAGGCAGCAGUGGGGAAUCUUGCGCAAUGCGCGAAAGCGUGACGCAGCAACGCCGCGUGGGGGAAGAAGGCUCUCGGGUUGUAAACCCCUUUCAGGGAGGACGAAGGCAUGGCCGUUAAUAGCGGAUCAUGCUGACGGUACUCCCACAAGAAGCCCCGGCUAACUACGUGCCAGCCGCCGCAGUAACAC
rnacentral:rRNA from 1 species